ACAUGCCGCGGAGCGGCUGGGCCCGUGAGCCAUGGCCGCUGAGCCCGUGCGUCUGGAGCCUGUGCUCCGCAACGGGAGAGGCCACAACAGUGAAUCUCCGCUGUACUGGGAACUGGCGCUUUCCUCACAUAACUCUGCAAGGCAGGUGUUACUAUCUCCAUUUAACAGAGUAGCAGCAAAGGCCCAGAGAGGUUCAUUGCUUGAUUAGGGUCACACAGGUAGUAGCGAUAGGAGGCUGAGUCUUUAUCCCUUCUACCCUGUUGCCUGCUUUUAGGUGUGCUUCACACCCACGUGUGCAGACAUCCAUGGAGCCAGGAUAAAAUGUCAUGCCAAUGGUCUCCAUUUUGGAGUCACUAAUCAUUUUAGCCUAUUUAACCAACACCAGAUUCUGGAAUUUAAUAAAUAAUGCUACACCAUCCAUAAAUGUCGAAAGAGCCCAACUGUGAUUUGCGCCUUAUGUGAAUACUGCAUUGUAACUGAGCCAGGAGAAGCCGUUGAACUAGCCUUCUAAGUGACAGCAUCUUAAAAGAGAUUUCUCAUCGGACAGUUUGGUGUGGAGGGUGGUCAGAUGCUUUCUUAUUAGAACAAUGCCCACAUAGAUUUCAAAUGAAAUUCUGGGGCUCCUCAAGAUUUGUUUAAAGAGAAAGAGGGGGUCAGCAGGACAUUAAUGAAGAAAGGGAAGAAAAAGCUUCUACUUGGUCACCUCGAGUUAGAAAAUUUCCAUUUCAACAUUGUCAAUCCCUCACCUCUCACGUGUAUAAAUUCACUACCAAAGGCCAAAAUAUUCUCUUUCUUUUCUUUCCUUUUUUUUUCUCUCUUGCCACAAAACCAGCUCUUAUUUAGGUCUCUUGCAAAGCAGCACAAACCAACUGUUCCUCCUCAGAUUAUCCCUUUCAGGGCUCAGGUGAUAUGCCUCCUUGGGUUAUACCUUCCCUGUUUUGUGGUCUGAUGUGUGCUGUGUCAUUCUAUAGUAUUCCACUUUGCAAGAAAAUAUUUAUGUAUGAGUCUCAUUAGGUCCCAUUUCCUCUGGGAAUGGUCCUGCGUGCAGUGUUUUCAUGCCAGCGGCAGGCAGUGAAUCGCUGGUCUUCAUGGGACAACUGGACAGCUGGCAGGAAACCAGGAAACUUCUCCUUCCCUUCUGUGACUUCGCUCAGCCAGAAAACUACAAGGUGUGUGACUGUAGGAUGAAAAGUUCCUGAGAGGUUGAAUGUAACACUUUGAGAAAACACUUGGACGGAAACUUGCUGAUGUUGAAGGAAUGGAAAUGUGUACCAUUCAAAGAAUGUUUUUUUCCUAGAUCUGGAAACACAAUGGCUUACGUAUACAGAGUCUUUUCAUUAUUUUAAUUUUUUUCUUUUUAUUACUGGUAAAUAGGAAUUCCCAUUAUUCACCAAAGAGCAGCGAAACUGACACCCUGUAUAGCUGAGAUGAGGGUACGUUGGCAAAACCCUUUUGGAAACUCAUUUGACCAUGUGUAUCAAGAGCCAUGAGAUUUUUUUAUAACCCAUGACCAAUUAAUUUUUACUUCUAGGAAUCCAUUCUCAGUACCAAAAAGGUUAUGCUCGAAAAUGUUCAUCAAACUCUUGCUUAUAAUAGUUAGAACAGGAAAUGGAAGUAUAAAAUAUUUUCUUGAUAUUCAUUGUUAUGCAGCUGCUGUAAUAAUAUUGAAAUAGGAUAUGCACUCUUAAUGAUUACAAAUACACAGGCAAAAUAUGCAGAAUUAUAAUAAUAGAUAAAAUUUAUUCUCUGCUUAAUAUAUAAAAGGCAAUGUGUCAAAUGCUUUAUAGUCAUGUCUCCUUUAAUCUGCUCACCAGAUUAAGCCAAAUUUAUUAUAUCUCCAUUUUACAGAUGAGGAAAGAGAGUCACAGGAAUUGGUUUAUCUAGAGUAACACUGCUAGGGUGAAAUUUGAACCCCAUCCUGGUUGAUGACAGACCUUACACAACAUGCAAUUCCUCAUGCUAUGUGGUUAAUUUUGAGUAAAAAAAACAAUCAUCAACCACAAAAGAAGAAAGAAAGAAAGAAAAAAGCACCCCAAACUAAAGGCAACCCAACACCAAUAAACAAACAUCUGACAAGCUCUAUUCUUAUGAUAAUCACAUGAAAAAGUAAAUAGGAAAGCUUAAACCAAGAGAAAACAGCCAAACUUGAAAAGACUCAUCUUCCACCAGUUAAUAAAAUGACAGGUAGCUAUCUGAAACAACACUUAAAUGUUUAAGGUCUUUCCUCUGGAUGGGAAUUAGAUCCUACAUUUUUUUUUUUAACAUCUUUGUUGGAGUAUAAUUGCUUUACAAUGGUGUGUUAGUUUCUGCUGUAUAACAAAGUGAAUCAGCUAUUCCUAUACAUAUAUCCCCAUAUCCCCUUGACAUGUCUGAUCUUUUACUAAGAGAAUCUAAGUAAUAUUAUUCUGCCAACUUAAAGAAGCAAAUCUUAAUGAGAGCAAUUCUUGUAUGCAGAUGGAAAAGACUCUGUCCAGGGUGAAUUGAAAAUUUUCUGGUGGACUGUGUCCUAGACCAGUGGUUCUUAACUUACUUUGUGUGAGAACAUAUUUGAAAAUACUAAUGAUAACUAUGGUCUGUCUCUGUUUUUCUCAUUUCUCAUUUCUCAGUAUCCAUCUGGGAUUGCUUCCUGGACCUCCGAGGAUACCAAAAUCCACAGAUGCUCAAGUCCCUUGUAUAAAUGAUGUAGUACAAUUGGCCUUCCCUAGUGGCAGGUUCCGAAUCCACAGAUUCAUCCAACUGCGGAUCAAAUUUUGGUUGGGUGAACAUUCAGAUGUGGAAUCCGCAGUUAACAAGAGCCCAUCGUAUUAAUAUUUAUACAACAUUUUAUUGCAUAUCUAUCUACUUUUAUUCUACUUUGAAAUCUUUUGGGUUCAUUGAUGGUUUGAGGACUUAAAUUAAAAUUCCCUUUUAUGUUUUGGCUUUCAUAGUGUUCUUUGUCCCACAAUUUGGGGGGAUAUUCUUUCCUAAAUCGUUCAAACACUGAUACAGUUUCCUCAGAGUCUUAUCUACACUUGGAUAACUAAGGUUUGUAAAGUAAGUUAGUGUAAUGAAUAAUUUAGUUUUCAUGUUUUCUUUAAUAUGUUCACAUGUUAUUAUGGCCACUUGUAUUCCGAUGUGUGGCUAACAACUGCCUUUUUGGUUUUCCGUGUUAGGAUGAAGAAAAAAAAGGAGGAUAUGCAUCACUAAGAAUCAAAGGAAGUGCCUGACUCUAUAACAAAGAGAAAAGCUUCAAAAUGAUUGUACAACACGAAGACAGAAAUAACCAUGUUAAGAGGUCAUUGGUCUGACUUCUCCAGAAACUUCCCCUGGGCAGCGGUCUCUACCUCUGUUACAGAAGACUGCAAAAAUACCAGCCAUUGUGCAUCUGGCCAAUUAUGCAAUGUUCUAUCACGGGGGGAAAUUCCUUCCUCACUCCAGCUGGCUCCAGAUGCAGCUGCUGCCUGCGGACCCCCUGUACUGCCUGGGGAAGUGAGUCAGGACUCCUGCAGCGGAUGGGUGGGGCAGCUGCAAGAUGAUCUGAAGGUGGCCCAAACAACAGUGCUUUCCAGAUGUGGGUGAGGCUAUAGCCAAGAUCAUCACUGGGUUAAUCUGCCUAACUGAAGACUUUUACUGAAGAAAGUUUAGCUAACAACAUAUAAGUAUUCAUGUCUCAAGGACCCAGAGAAAGAUACAUUUUUGUUUCUCAAGAGGCGCAGCCCGUCUUUCUCUCCUGUAGAAGUGAAGGAAGCACCAGUUACCCUUCUGAUUUUAAUCAGAAAAUAUAAAUGUAAAAUAUGAAUUCGAUAAAAAUGUAAGCUUGGCUUUUACUAUUUCCUGAACAUGUGCUCAUUAUCUUUUAAUAAAUAAAGUGUACUUUAAGGGUGAUAAGAAGAAGGAGAACUUUAAAAAUUGUUAAUGAAUGUGGUUAACAUAUGUAGUGAAGCAAAGGCAUAGUUUAAGAUAAAUCCCAGUAAUACCAGGAAGAAAAUACAGUCAGUGGUUAAGGAAUCUGCGUUUGUGGUUGUUUUAAAGGUGGCUGAGUGUGCCGUACUCUGCAGAAGUGACUAGAAGGGGACAGAGGGCUGUGACAUGGGUCACUUUUGUUUCUCUUUGUGCUCCAAG